UACCCGCAACGGGACGAAAAGACCCCGUGAACCUUCACUGCAACUUAACAUUGACGCUGGACAAUCGAUGUGUAGGAUAGGUGGGAGACAGAGAAUCAGGUACGCCAGUAUUUGAGGAGUCGCCCUUGAAAUACCACCCUUCGCUUGUUUGGAGCCUAAUCCUGCGGUAAGUGGGAGUCAUUGAUUGGUGGGCAGUUUGACUGGGGUGGUCGCCUCCAAAAGCGUAACGGAGGCUUUCAAAGGUUCCCUCAGGACGGUUGGUAACCGUUCGUAGAGUGCAAUAGCAUAAGGGAGCUUGACUGCGAGACCGACGAGUCGAACAGGUACGAAAGUAGGAUAUAGUGAUCCGGUGGUUCCGCAUGGAAGGGCCAUCGCUCAAAGGAUAAAAGGUACUCCGGGGAUAACAGGCUGAUCACCCCCAAGAGCUCAUAUCGACGGGGUGGUUUGGCACCUCGAUGUCGGCCCGUCACAUCCUGGGGCUGGAGAAGGUCCCAAGGGUUCGGCUGUUCGCCGAUUAAAGUGGCACGCGAGCUGGGUUCAGAACGUCGCGAGACAGUUCGGUCCCUAUCUGUUGAGGGCGUAGGAAAUUUGAGAGGCUCUGACACUAGUACGAGAGGACCGUGUUGGACGUACCGCUAGUGCGCCGGUUGUUUCGCCAGAAGCAUCGCCGGGUAGCUAUGUGCGGAAGGGAUAAGUGCUGAAAGCAUCUAAGUACGAAGCCCGCCUCAAGAUGAGAUUUCCAAGAGGGCGGUUGAAGAAGACGACCUUGAUAGGUUGCAGGUGUAAAGGCAGUAAUGUCAAAGCCGAGCAAUACUAAUAACCCGAAUACUUCUUGUA
rnacentral:rRNA from 1 species